UCAGUGCCUUUCUUAACUAAUCCUGUCACUGUAAAAUCCUACAGUCAUUCUUCCACACAUAAAGGGAAAACGGACUCACUAGGAGGACCUAGACUCUUUCAGCUUGAACUGUUAACCAAUGGUGGAAAUGCAAGAAUGCUGAAGUUGUGCCUUCAGAGCCAAUAGAGUGGAUUUGUGUGUCCCACAUGACUGUGUUUCCUCUGUCUUUCACAUGGGCAGUAUUUAGUUCAAUUCAGAACUGCAGAUAGUAUAGCGUGCAGAGCAGCAAUGGGAUGUCUGAGCACAAGUGGCUGACUUCCAGGCGACUUCAGGAAGCACAUUUGUACAUUUCUCCUGAAUUUAACUGGGAUUCUGCACCCUUGACACCCUCCGACCCUCCUUGUCUCUGCAGAAGGAGACAGCGACCUGCACAGCACAACAAAACUACAAAUCACCACAGAGCUGCAGACCAGCAAUGAAGGGAACUGGGCAAUUUGACCAACAUCAUCUGUGUCGGUUCCCCAGAAGUCGAUGAAACAUGUUAUCGGGUCUCCAAGUUUGCAUUUUACAGACCACAAACCUCAGAAGAUCAUUGUGUGGAAGAAACACACUGGGCCAACUCAUCCUGUCCAUCUGACACAAAGCACAGCCCAUUUUGGUGUUCUUUCCAUUCUGAAGGAGUCUCAUAUCAGCACAGCAAGAGCAGACCUGCAAAAAAGAAUUCUGACCAGCUGA
rnacentral:lncRNA from 1 species